rnacentral:rRNA from 1 species
UGGGGAAUAUUGCACAAUGGGCGCAAGCCUGAUGCAGCCAUGCCGCGUGUGUGAAGAAGGCCUUCGGGUUGUAAAGCACUUUCAGCGAGGAGGAAGGUUAGUGUGUUAAUAGCACAUUGCAUUGACGUUACUCGCAGAAGAAGCACCGGCUAACUCCGUGCCAGCAGCCGCGGUAAUACGGAGGGUGCAAGCGUUAAUCGGAAUUACUGGGCGUAAAGCGCACGCAGGCGGUUUGUUAAGUCAGAUGUGAAAUCCCCGCGCUUAACGUGGGAACUGCAUUUGAAACUGGCAAGCUAGAGUCUUGUAGAGGGGGGUAGAAUUCCAGGUGUAGCGGUGAAAUGCGUAGAGAUCUGGAGGAAUACCGGUGGCGAAGGCGGCCCCCUGGACAAAGACUGACGCUCAGGUGCGAAAGCGUGGGGAGCAAACA